UAUUUUAGACUCCCCUAUUGGUUAAGUAAAAGUAUGUAAUCUAUUCAACUUCAUUGAUUGGCGCCUGAGAGUUAUGCAGACUAACGCUUGAGAAAUGAGAAGCAAGCUACACUCGUGACUCCAAGUACUCAAACAACGUUAAACAAGUACAUUUUGCAUCAGUGUUUUGAUUGCAUCACCCACCAGCCUGAAAUGAUCAAGAUUGAAGAAGCCUCUGUCAGCUAGAGAAUUGCCAAAGAGACAACGCAAGCCAGCUCCUAAAGUGAGGGAGAGGGAGAUUCUUCUCAUGAUGCUGAUGACACAAAAGGCCUGACCAAGUCAAAGCUGUGAGGGGCUUAUGUGACAGUCUUGAGAAAGGCUGUAUCCGACACAUCUACUAGGAUGGGCAAGCAGGAGCUGUAUCCGGGCUGGGGUCUGUACCUAUCAUAAUUUAAUCUUGCUGCAAUUCGUCACAACGUGACUGCCUCCGCCUGUUCCAUCUCCUGUUUGACCAUUUUUUUCACUGACGAGUGUGUCAACGCUGUUGCCUUUGGAUGGCAUGGAAAGUGUCCUGAAGGCAAAUCGAUGCUGGACCAGGCCCGAGUGAACGACAUCCUGACUUAUGUCUUUCGUUAUGCAUCCAUGGACGACUGGAAGGCGGUGGAGUCUGGUAAACUAAAUGCCUUCAUUAACAAAUUCCAGACCGUGCUGAAUAAUCCAAAUGUUAAAAUAAGCUAGGCCAGUUGGGGGAUUGGGCUCUUAAUUUAAGUAUUGUCUUAUUGUUUGUUAUUUUAGAUAAUAACUACAUUUGAUUAAGGACGUCAGUGUUUUUAUUUUUUUAUUUGUCAUGAUCUUAGAAUCUUACAAUUCUAUCUGGGUUCUGGGUGAUUCUGAGAUAUUAAGCAUCAGAGUUUUCACAUCUCAGCAAAACUGCUAUUUAGUAUAUUAAACUUGUAUUGCUCAACAAGGUCAUCACCCUGAAGGUACCAAGUAUCCACAUUCUAGGACAUUUAGAUAUGCAAGUGAUUUCAAAAAUCUUAACUUCAGGUUUUUAGAUCAACAUCAUGUCGAUAACCCCCCCCCCAAAAAAAAUGACAGAGUUCUAAGUUCACGUUGGUUAAGCUAAACUUGGUUAUAAAAAAGGAUACCGUAAGUCAAUUUAAGCCCUUUGCACACUGCCCAAAAACAUCCCCAACAAAUUCCAACAAACUCAAACAUAAAACAGUGUUUGCUCAGUAUUCAGCACCACAUUUGAAACAACUCUAGUUAAGCUAAUGACUUUCUUUAAGCAACUGAUUCUGGUCAGUGUUCCAUUCUAUUUCCCCAUUAGCUUGUGCUGCGUCCAGUGUACUACAGUGCCUCUUGUGAUACUAUUGAUCAUAGCAUCUUAAUUUAACAAAUUGCUUAAUUGGUUUCAAUCUUAGUUGUCGAUUAGGCAGUUUUGUGUUGGGUACUUGGUUUCAGCCUUACUGUAUUCAUCUUAUUUUCCGUAGAAACAAGAGAACACUCAUGUUCAUUGUGUGUCUGUAGAUCAUGGGCUCAACUUACAAGCGCUCAACAUUAAGAACAUCACGCUACUGUGAAUUCAGUGCUGUUACAUUCAGAUUUGAAAUGACAUUUCAUUGUUUCAAAAGGUGUAAAUAAAAUAAUAUUGUG